rnacentral:rRNA from 1 species
AUUGAACGCUGGCGGCAGGCCUAACACAUGCAAGUCGAACGAGUGGCGGACGGGUGAGUAAUGUCUGGGAAACUGCCUGAUGGAGGGGGAUAACUACUGGAAACGGUAGCUAAUACCGCAUACCAUCGGAUGUGCCCAGAUGGGAUUAGCUAGUAGGUGGGGUAAAGGCUCACCUAGGCGACGAUCCCUAGCUGGUCUGAGAGGAUGACGAGCCACACUGGAACUGAGACACGGUCCAGACUCCUACGGGAGGCAGCAGUGGGGAAUAUUGCACAAUGGGCGCAAGCCUGAAGCAGCCAUGCCGCGUGUAUGAAAAAGGCCUUCGGGUUGGAAGGUACUUUUGGCGGGAAGGCGUUACCAGCAGAGGAAGCACCUGCUAACUCCAUGCCAGCCGCCGCGGUAAUUC